rnacentral:rRNA from 1 species
UACGUAGGGUGCAAGCGUUUGUCCGGAAUUAUUGGGCGUAAAGAGCUCGUAGGCGGUCUGUCGCGUCGGCUGUGAAAACCCGGGGCUCAACCCCGGGCCUGCAGUCGAUACGGGCAGACUAGAGUGCGGUAGGGGAGACUGGAAUUCCUGGUGUAGCGGUGAAAUGCGCAGAUAUCAGGAGGAACACCGGUGGCGAAGGCGGGUCUCUGGGCAGUAACUGACGCUGAGGAGCGAAAGCGUGGGGAGCGAACAGG